rnacentral:rRNA from 1 species
UACGUAGGCAGCGAGCGUUGUUCGGAAUUACUGGGCGUAAAGAGCUCGUAGGCGGUUUGUCGCGUCGAAUGUGAAAACCCGGGGCUCAACCCCGGGCCUGCAUUCGAUACGGGCAGACUAGAGUUCGGUAGGGGAGUCUGGAAUUCCUGGUGUAGCGGUGAAAUGCGCAGAUAUCAGGAGGAACACCGGUGGCGAAGGCGGGACUCUGGGCCGAUACUGACGCUGAGGAGCGAAAGCGUGGGGAGCAAACAGG